AGCGAACGCUGGCGGCAGGCCUAACACAUGCAAGUCGAACGAAGUCUUCGGACUUAGUGGCGGACGGGUGAGUAACACAUGGGAACGUGCCUUUAGGUUCGGAAUAACUCAGGGAAACUUGUGCUAAUACCGAAUGUGCCCUUCGGGGGAAAGAUUUAUCGCCUUUAGAGCGGCCCGCGUCUGAUUAGCUAGUUGGUGAGGUAAAGGCUCACCAAGGCUACGAUCAGUAGCUGGUCUGAGAGGAUGACCAGCCACAUUGGGACUGAGACACGGCCCAAACUCCUACGGGAGGCAGCAGUGGGGAAUCUUGCGCAAUGGGCGAAAGCCUGACGCAGCCAUGCCGCGUGGACGAUGAAGGUCUUAGGAUUGUAAAAUCCUUUCACCGGUGAAGAUAAUGACUGUAGCCGGAGAAGAAGCCCCGGCUAACUUCGUGCCAGCCGCCGCGGUAAAAC
rnacentral:rRNA from 1 species